GGGGCUUGUGGGAACGGCCCACCGCAGGGUUGGCCACCUUGAGAAGCUGCGAAGAUGGCGGAGUAAGGCGUGCCGCUGCAAACUGGCCUCUGGGCCGGGGGCGAGCAGCCCCCGGGAGGCCGAGUGCAUCUGUUGGACCGUGCGAGGAGAAGAAAAAAAAUAUCGGCCAGAGGAGAGGAACUAACCGAACAUUCUUCCUCCCUACCUUAUAGAGGGGAGUGGUCAUCUACACUAAAGCAAAGUGUUAGGCGCGUCCGUGCGAAGAGACCACCAAACAGGCUUUGUGUUCCUUAUCACAGGAAGAAAAUUUUCCUUGACCUUUAGGUGCUUUUAUAUUCAUCUCAAAAACAAAAUUCUGAACUCAGGACUUGGCAAGUUCAAGCGAUUCUCCUGCCUCGGCUUCCUGAGUAGCUGGGACUACAGGCACCCGUUACCACGCCCAGCUAAUUUUUGUAUCUUUAGUAGAGACGGGGUUUCACCAUGUUGGCCAGGCUGGUCUUGAACUCCGGACCUGGUGAUCCACCCACUUCGGCUUCCCGAAGUGCUGGGUUUACAGAUGUGUCUCUAUGUUGUCUCCUAGAGUGGGUAGUCCUGCUUCUUUUACCCAGUUACUUUCCCGUUUUUGAAAUGUGGCUAUCACUUCUCUACACAUUACCUCCAUGAUUUGGAAUGGAAAAGGCCACUUUUCUUUUUGUUCUGCCUCUCAAAUUCAACACAGAGGAGCUCCUAGGAUUCCAGUUAUCCUGCUAACAUCUCCAGGAAGAAAGAAGCAACUCACAUGGGUCUUUUGCUGUUUGCUUAAUUAUAAAGACAUCAUUUUGCAAGCAGAAGGCUGAGUUUCAUUUGAAACAGGUGCUUAGGUGGUGGUAUUUGUGAAUACUUUUCAUUCCAAGCAAGAAGACUAAAGAAGUAGCAAGUAUGAAUGACUUCAGGGUUUAAAAAAAAUGUCUUCCAGUUUCAGCCACUACCAUGAUAAGCACAGUUGAGACUGCAGCAGUAAAUUCCAAAUAUGUGUUUCUAAUUUGACGUGAAAGAUACUAAAAAUUUAUAUUUGUAUAUUUAAAUCCUGGCUCAUCCUGUGACAUAGAUUUACUGAAUAGGAACAAAGGCCCAAUUUUAAACAAAAACCUAGGCCGGGUGUGGUGGCUCACACCUGUAAUCCCAACACUUUGGGAGGCCAAGGCAGGCAAAUCACCUGAGGUUGGGAGUUUGAGACCAGCCUGACCAACAUGGAGAAACCCCAUCUCUACUAAAAAUAGAAAAUUAGCCAGGUGUGGUGGUAGAUACGUGUAAUCCCAGCUACUCGUGAGGCUGAGGCAGGAGAAUUGCUUGAAUCCGGGAGGCGGAGGUUGCAGUGAACUGAGAUUGCACCACUGCACUCCAGCCUGGGCGACAGAGUGAGACUCCGUCUCAGAAAAAUAAAAAACAACUUUGGACAUAGAGGAGUUGGGGGCAGAGGGGGGAGGAUGAGAGAAUUUUCCAUGUAACUCCUUUUCCUUAAGAAAAAGAAGCAAAAAUCCCUCAUGCAGUGCCAUCUGACUUUAUGGUGUUUCACAUUAUAUAGUUACUUUUUUUAAUAAACGCAUAAGAUUAACUCUUCCUGCAACCCAAGGUGGAUACUUGGAUGUUUGAUUUUUAUUUAUUUAUUUAUUUAUUUUUUGAGGCAGUCUCUCUCUGUUGCCCAGGCUGGAGUGAUGCGUGAUUUCUGCUCACUGCAGUCUCUCCCACCCGGGUUCAAGCGAUUCUCCUGCCUCAGCCUCCCAAGUAGCUAGGAUUACAGGCGCGCACCACCACGCUCAGCCUGAUUUCUAGGCUGAAAAGGCUGGGACUCAGGUACUUUCCCCAGUUGGGACUGAACUUUCUCAUCAGAGAAUGGGCCUCAGAAGCAAUGUUCCCAAACUUGUGGUUGGGUCAUCGUGGAAAAGAAACCUCAAAUAAGAAAAAUAAUUACAAUAAGAAAUGGAUUUUCUUUUUUCCCACAACAGUUAUACAUUAUAAAGAACAGACUGUCGUAGAAAACUGUCUUUGCUUCCAAAUCAGCAGAGGACCAUUGUAUGUAUUGUCAGGUCUUUAUAUAAGAGUGAAACCUUUAUUUAUGCUUCUUGUGAGUAGAGAAUAAAUUUUAAAACUAAUUAGAUGAAAUUAAGAACAGAGUAUUGGAACAUCUCUGUGUUUUCCGGAAUGUUUACUCAGGUCCAUGAAUGCUGUGAUGCUGGGAACUUAGGGAAGAUUCACCAAAAUUUGAGAGUGAUAAAAAUGGCCUAAAAUGGGAAAUGGUGAGCACUCUUAUUAUUAGUGAGAUUGGUCAAUCAGCCCAUUUGAAAUGGGUAAAAAAUACUUUCAGUAAAAUAAUUACAUAUUAUAUAUAAAAUAUUUCUUUUUUUGAGGGCAGCUACUGAGUGAUAAAAGCAUAGUAGAAAUCACUUUGGUUAAAAGUAACUCAAAUUUUUCUCUUAAGUAAUCUACCAACUUCCUGAUGUUUUUCUUUAAUAUUUUGGAACUGUUCAAGACAGAAUGGAGCCUACAUAUAUGGUGUUCCACUAGUAUGUUGAAAAUGUCAUAUCAUGGAGAAUGGAGACACCUUCCAGGUGUCUGUUAAACCCAUCUUCUCUGUGUACUUCUGGCAUCUUUUUUGGUAGGAUCAUUUGGCAGGGGGUAGAGUACCUGUACUUUUGGCACCAUUGAAACCAGCUCUGGCCCACUUGUUUGAAUAGCUAUCAGACUCAGCGUCUCUAUAUGCUUUAUAUACAGUUGAGAGAACCAGUGUUUAAUGCUCUUGAAAUUGUAUCUUCCAUGCUUCAGACCAGAUGCAUUUAACAAAAUGGAUAUAUUCCAGCUGUAGUUGCCCAGUGUUUACUUAACACAUCUACAUUUUUUUCUUGUCUAUUUUGGUCCCCUUGAUAGGAAAAGCUAUAAUUUUAGGCAGGACUAUACGUCGAUUUGUAGCCAUGCUUCCUUCCUUUCCCUUGCUCAUCCAUGUUAGCUGGCAGUUUUUCUUUUGAAAAGUUAAAACCGGGAUAUGUGCAAUAGAAAUAUAUAUAUAUAUAUGUAUAUUUUAAUACUUGUGGACAAAUGUUACAAGUUGUUUAAGAACAACAAAAUCACCAAUGUCUUCCAUUUUGAGAUGUGUAUAGUUUUGUAAGCAUUAGUGCUUGGUAGCAUAUUGUAGUGCCAUGUUAGGGGUUAGUGCAUGAGUCUAGUGAUUUUAAACUUCAGGAUGAAUUAUUGAUAAUAACAAAUAGUGUAAAAAGAGUGGAAAAUCUAAACCUUUUCUUUUUCCAUAAUGUCUAAAUCUGUUAUAUUCUUCCUGGGGAAAAGAGAUUAAGGCCCAAAAGACUCAUUUAUGAAUAGAAAUGUGGGGUCAAAAUCUGAGAUACUAUAUUUGAGGACAUUUCAGCUUUCCAUAAGGUAUCUGGAAACCAGCUGUCUUUGUGUCUUAUGAAACCUCAAGUCAAAAUGAGACCGCAUUUAAUUAUUCUGCUUUGCUCUUUUUUUGGGGUGGGGGGGAGAUAGAGUUUCACUCUGUCACCCAGGCUGGAGUGCAGUGGCACAAUCUUUGCUCACUGUAACCUCUGCCUCUUGGGUUCAAGUGAUUCUCGUGCCCCAGCCUCCCGAGUAGCUGGGACUACAGGCACGUGCCACCACGCCCAGCUAAUUUUUAUAUUUUUAGUAGAGACGGGGUUUUGCUGUGUUGGCCAGGCUGGUCUCAAACUCCUGACCUCAAGUAAUCCACCUGGCCUGCUCUUUUCAUGUCUUAACAUGGCAUGUCUUUUAGUUUCAUUAUUUUCCUACUCCUUGUAUGUCAAGAAAUUACAUUUUGCAUGUCUUAUGGAGAUGCUGUUAAUUGCUUCAGUGAGUGCUUUUCUAAUCUGCAGACCAUUUACAUUUCCUGUUUGCAGCAUGCUGUGUGCAAACACUCAGUAAUUUGGAGUAUUCAAUUAUUUGUUAGGGCUCUUCCUAUUUCCAAAUGUGCUGAAUUGUCUAUUGAUGGGAUUUUCAGAUCUUUUCAUGAGAACUGGAAAUGUAGCUGGGUGGCACCUACCUAGGUUGCUACGUAGUGAGUAGACUUUCUCUUGGGUAUAGUAAGCCUCAGACAGCUUUCACUUUUAUCUACUUUACUUGUGGAAAUAAAACAGUCAUUUUGUUCUGAAAGAAUAAGAUAGCUUUCUGUAGAGAAGGAAUUCCUACCUCUAAAAGCUGCCUUGAGAACUCAGAACUGGCAGUUUUCUGAGGUGAUUUUUAAAUUUCAGUAUUAGGGAGAGUCCAGCAUUUGCUGACACAGAUUCUACAUAACUAAUGUAUGAUAGCAAAUGCAAAACUAUUAUAAUGUGGUGUAUCUUGCGCAUACACAGGUUAGAACAAGUAGACUCUGGCAGCAGAUCUCCAGAGACCCAAGUUUAGGUUCUCAUAGUGUAUUUGAAGUAGUUAUACUCCUGGCUUAAGUAGUUUAGUGCCUGGGAGAAUCCAUUACUGAAAA
rnacentral:lncRNA from 1 species